UCAGCUGGAAAGUCUCAUUCAUAUAGUUUUGAGAGUGAGUUCAGCAGAUUUCUUUAACUCCAACAUUGACUGCAGCAGAAAAUAAUGUGCUUGACCUCAUUCCACGUCUUCCUGGAAAAUGGGAUUAAUGUUUACCUCAGAACAGUAAUGGGAGGCUUAAUGUUUCAGUGGAGGUUUUGAUGAGAGGUGUUUAAGAUAUCCAACCUGUUUGGACUGCAAUUGAGGUUGACUAUUUUCUUGUUUAGCUAAACAGGAACUCUAUAUUGUUCUCCCUUUAAUGCUAGCCGGUGCCUGUUACUGCCCCAGAGGCCAAUAGCCCUGGCCUUCUCACCUUUUGGGGAUACUUACUAGAGUUCCUGAAGCCUUUGCCAGGAAUCUUCAGGUCCCCAAGCUUUUUAACAUGUGCAUAUCCAGCAAAAGCAGAAGAGAACAUGGCUGUUUCAAAGAUUCCUGCAGGCUUGGAGAGCAACUCGCGAAAAUUCAGCUGCGGCGCCAUCUGCUGGACGCUCCGCGGCGUUGCAAGGCCCUGCCUGGGAAGGAGAGAUGGCGUUGCAUGUGAAGGCCCAGCCUUUGCCCGGGGAACACUGGCACCAAGGUAGCAUUUACAUGUUGUCAAUUUCUCAAAAAUAUCCCUCUACAAGAAAAUGAUCUCAGUUCUGAGAAGCCCCCGAGCAUAAAUGAAGUGGCAUGUUUUUUAGGUGUCCCCUUAGGAAAACCUGGGGCUUUGGAGGCGUAAUUCAUUUCAUUACAGCUGCAAGACUGAAAACUAAAACUGUAUUUUCCAUCACUGUACACAGAGAAGUAUCAGGAACAGAAGCUACAAUGUGUUUGUUCCCCUGAAUGGAACUGAUUUUGC